rnacentral:rRNA from 1 species
UCCUUAGAUGUUCUGGGCCGCACGCGCGCUACACUGAUACAUGCAACGAGUUUAUAACCUUGAUCUGACGGUCUGGGUAAUCUUCAAACUGUAUCGUGUUAGGGAUCGAUUCUUGCAAUUUUUAAUCGUAAACGAGGAAUUCCUAGUAAACGCAAGUCAUCAGCUUGCAUUGAUUACGUCCCUGCCCUUUGUACACACCGCCCGUCGACUCUACCGAUUGAAUGGUUCGGUGAAAACUUUGGACUGUGGCAUUGUCCUUCAUUGGACUUCGCCGUAGGAAAUUGUUUAAACCUCAUCAUUUAGAGGAAGAAUAAGUCGUAACA